rnacentral:tRNA from 2 species
UGCAGCGUAACUUAAUGGUAAAGUACCCGGCUCAUAACCGGGCAUAUGCGAGUUCAAGUCUCGCCGCUGCGACCA